UGGAAGCACAUAAAAUUACAGGAGCCAUAGGCAGAAUGCAGAAGCCAUAGCGCAUGCGCUGUGGUAUUACUUUAUCUGCCUAUAGCAGAAUGGCAGAUAUCAUAGCGCAUGCGCUAUGGUUUCUGUAUUCUGCCCAUGGCUUCUGGAUUUUCAAUCUACAUAAAAAUACAUAAUGCAUAGCCACGGGCAUAGGCACAUACAUUCUCUUUGUAGUCGGUCCUUCUAGAAAAGUGAUCAAGAACAAAGAACGGAUUUAUAUUGAUUAACACGCUCAGAGCUCCGCGACUAACAAGACGCAAG